UACGGGGGGAGCAAGCGUUGUUCGGAUUUACUGGGCGUAAAGGGCGCGUAGGCGGUCAGCACAAGUCAGUUGUGAAAUCUCCGGGCUUAACUCGGAAAGGUCAACUGAUACUGUGCGACUAGAGUGCAGAAGGGGCAACUGGAAUUCUCGGUGUAGCGGUGAAAUGCGUAGAUAUUGGGAAGAACACCAGUGGCGAAAGCGGACUUCUGGGCUGUUACUGACGCUGAGGUACGAAAGCGUGGGGAGCAAACGGG
rnacentral:rRNA from 1 species